rnacentral:rRNA from 1 species
UACGGAGGGCGCAAGCGUUGUUCGGAAUUACUGGGCGUAAAGCGCACGUAGGCGGCUUUGUAAGUUAGAGGUGAAAGCCCGGGGCUCAACUCCGGAAUUGCCUUUAAGACUGCAUCGCUAGAAUUGUGGAGAGGUAAGUGGAAUUCCGAGUGUAGAGGUGAAAUUCGUAGAUAUUAGGAAGAACACCAGUGGCGAAGGCGGCUCACUGGUCCGGUACUGACGCUGAGGUGCGAAAGCGUGGGGAGCAAACAGG